UACGUAGGGGGCAAGCGUUAUCCGGAAUUAUUGGGCGUAAAGAGUACGUAGGCGGUUCUUUAAGCGCAGGGUUUAAGGCGAUAGCUUAACUAUCGUUCGCCCUGUGAACUGGGGGACUUGAGUAUCGGAGAGGAAAGCGGAAUUCCUAGUGUAGCGGUGAAAUGCAUAGAUAUCACGCAGAACUCCGAUUGCGAAGGCAGCAUACCGGCGCUCAACUGACGCUCAUGCACGAAAGCGUGGGUAUCAAACAGG
rnacentral:rRNA from 1 species